AAGUGGAGAACCUCUAGUCUUAGAGAACCCCUAAUUUUGUUUUAAAGAAAGUUUUGAGUGUUGGAAUAGAGAUUGACUAUUCAUAUAGCAGACCCCAAACAGUUCGGGUUAAUGCACAUUGGCACAAUAGUUGUUUGUUUGAGCAAUAUGUGAUGUUGUACUUUUGAUGUCUUGAUUGUUGAUAUGAUAUAAACAAAAAUUGUGAAACACCAUGGUGGGUCAAGUUCUAUUCUCUGGUAAUUCCUAUUUUCUGGUGAUCAAUAGGAUGUGCAAUAAGUACGGCACAUCUAUGUAAUUUUCAUUUACUGUUUCUGUUUUAACCUUUUACAUGUCUGGAUUGAAUUUUUUCCCUUUUUUUCAGGAAUGAACAUCCAAUAGUACCUAUAAUUAAAGAGCACCGUACUCUAGCAAAACUCUUGAAUUGUACAUUGGGGUCGAUCUGUUCACUUGCUAGACUAUCUAUGAGGACACAGAGAUACACACUGCAUGGUCAUUGGCUCCAGACGACAACAGCAACAGGGCGACUGUCAAUGGAGGAACCUAAUCUUCAGGUUCCCUUUUAUUCCAUUAUUUCAUUGUUAUUAGUGAAUCAUCCUUAAAGAUAAUAUAACCUGUGUUGGUUAAUUUGUUUUGUUUUAUUUAUCUAGUGUGUUGAACAUAUGGUUGACUUCAAAAUGAAUAACAAGGAUAAAGACGUUUGUCCGUUAGAUGUCAAUAAUUAUAAGAUCAAUGCUCGUGAUUUUUUUGUGUCUACUCAGGUAUCUCUUGAUUAAUCUUAAGUUACUUUUUAUAUGAAAUUAUCUUUUUGGAUGGUUUCAGUUGAAUAUUGUACUUACUCUUUCGCAGGACAAUUGGUUACUGUUAACAGCAGAUUAUUCCCAGAUAGAACUGAGAUUGAUGGCCCAUUUCUCUAAAGAUUCCUCGUUGAUCGAACUGCUUAGUGAACCCCAAGGUGAUGUCUUCAACAUGAUUGCUGCAAAAUGGACAGGUAAAACAGAGGCUAUUGUGAGUCGAGAGGAGC
rnacentral:lncRNA from 1 species